GACGAACGCUGGCGGCGUGCUUAACACAUGCAAGUCGAACGGAGAGGCCCUGCUUUUGUGGGGUGCUCGAGUGGCGAACGGGUGAGUAACACGUGAGUAACCUGCCCUUGACUUUGGGAUAACUUCAGGAAACUGGGGCUAAUACCGGAUAUGAGCUCCUGCUGCAUGGUGGGGGUUGGAAAGUUUCGGCGGUUGGGGAUGGACUCGCGGCUUAUCAGCUUGUUGGUGGGGUAGUGGCUUACCAAGGCUUUGACGGGUAGCCGGCCUGAGAGGGUGACCGGCCACAUUGGGACUGAGAUACGGCCCAGACUCCUACGGGAGGCAGCAGUGGGGAAUAUUGCACAAUGGGCGGAAGCCUGAUGCAGCAACGCCGCGUGCGGGAUGACGGCCUUCGGGUUGUAAACCGCUUUCGCCUGUGACGAAGCGUGAGUGACGGUAAUGGGUAAAGAAGCACCGGCUAACUACGUG
rnacentral:rRNA from 1 species